rnacentral:tRNA from 1 species
GGGUUCAUAGGGUAGCUAGGAUAUCCUGCUGGUCUUCGGAACCAGCGACCGGGGUUCGAAUCCCCGUGAGCCCG